UUAGCGUAAAACGAGUAAUUACUUCAGCGCUAUAUAGUUUCAGCCGUUCCCCUUCUUUAGCUUAAAAGUGAAAAUUCAGUAAAAAAUCAGAGCGCUAAAAGUGAAAAAAUUUCCCUCCCAAACUCAUCAAAACCUUCACCGUUUGAUUUUUCAGAAGCUAAACCAUAGACCGUCCAGUGUAUCUUUUCCCUAACCCCAACCCUAACCCUUUCUUCCCUUCACCUUCUUCUCAAACCCUUCAACUUGCAACUCAGAAUUAGAAUUUUAGGGUUUCAUGGAAUCAUCUCAAUCAAACCUUUGAAGUAAGUCUUUGACGGCGAUAUUGAUUCCCCUUAGAGCUGCAAGGGUCUUAACACGCUCUGAACGAAAACUCAAAUAUAGAGGAUUUUUCAUUUUCAAGUUGUGUAUGAUUCGUCUUUUUGUCGCCCCGGAAUCUGUAGAUUCAUCCAAAAUAAUUACUAUUGUUGAUGUCCAUCAGUUUUUCGACGACAUUAAGAAUAAGCGUCGCCGUAUAAAGGAAAUCACAAAACUAAAAAAAGGCAUGCAGCUGAGGUCGGACUAAUAAUCAAAUCAUGAAUGAUGAAGAGACGUAGAUGUGAAAAUGUAGAUGUUUAAGUAUACUUUUAAAGAUUCAAGAUGUUAUUUUAAUUAUGAACGAUGAUUGAUAAGAUGAUAUGUAUAUUAAAGAUGUUUUGUUGAUUGUAAAUCAUGAUUGACAUUGAGAUAUGUAAAUUGAAAGAUCAUUUAAAAUUUGUAUAUGAAUAGUUAUAUAAAAAAUUGUGAAUGAUAACAUUUAUU